ACAGCAGUCGCCGCGGGAAAACGAAGGGGGCUAGCGUUGCUCGGAAUGACUGGGCGUAAAGGGCGCGUAGGCGGCGAUCAAAGUCAGGCGUGAAAUUCCUGGGCCCAACCUGGGGGCUGCGUUUGAUACUUGGUUGCUAGAGUGAGGAAGAGGGUCGUGGAAUUCCCAGUGUAGAGGUGAAAUUCGUAGAUAUUGGGAAGAACACCGGUGGCGAAGGCGGCGACCUGGUCCUUGACUGACGCUGAGGCGCGAAAGCGUGGGGAACAAACAGGAUUAGAUACCCCCGUAGUCCCUGUCUCUAAUAA
rnacentral:rRNA from 1 species